AUGUGGGAUGAUUGGGACAUCGUAUCUAUCGUUUGUUGGGCGUGGAUUUAUCGCGGUAUUUAUUCUCCAUCUUUCAUCUAGUGGCAGUUGGGCCUUGUCGGAUUUAUCGAUAUCGUUAUGCAUCUACAUUGUCGGUAAAUUGACUUACCGGUAAAAAGAAUUAUCAACAUUCACCUUCUUUCAGUGGUGUUGAGUUUGUGGAAGAUGUUGUAUCACGGGGAUAUUAUAUUUGCAUAACAAAAAGUUGCUCAGCGCAGAUGUUGUAUCACGGGGAUAUUUAUAACUGCAUGGUGGAAGACGCACGUGUAAAUUUUCUAGAAUAAAGUAGUUCAAUUCAACACCAUGUGGGCAUGUCUACUUGUAUUUUGACCGUGAACAAUCAUGAACAGUUAGUGACACAACCUCUCACCUAAAAUGAACCACACUUGUUGCAUUUGCAUAACAACAAGUUGCUCAUCGUAGUGCGAGCUGUCUUCAAGAAUACUCACCUGGACACAUUUGGGUGAAGACAGAGCAGCAUGAGUGGUGCAGUCAAAGGGUCUAGCUUUUAUAAGGCGUAGAAGCAAAUACGUUUGAUUAGACUUGUGCAGUUCGUUUUUUGAUUGAGGUUGACAAGCUGUUCAACAUCUUUUUUCUGGAAGCCCACCGAUGUGCCACAACAAGCAGCCUAGCAUUUGAGUCGGAUCCAUGAACCCAACGCUCAGUCUUGCAUCUAUUAAGUUACAACUUAAUAAAUACAUUUGUAAUUCUGUGUUCUUUUAUUUUUAUAUGAAACAAUGUUGAUAAGGAAAGUAGAUUUAAUAAUCGGGGAAAGAUUGAGAUAAACUGUUUGACGCCUUUCAAAUUCAAUUGGUUAAAUCCGAUCUGUAAAUCUCGUCUUAUUGGCUUUCAUACUGACGAUUUUUUAUAGUAAAAUAUCUAAAAUUGAAAUGGUUUGAAAACUUACUUUUGAAAAUAUGCUUUUGUAAAUAAUUGGUUAUAAGCGUUAAAAUAUCUUACCUGCUGAAAGAAUAUAUCUUAGACUUUAAAAAAAAAACAUUUAUAAAUUCAAUUUGAAUUUACUCAGAAUCUUGUGUUUGGAAAAGUGUUUAAUGUACAUUGGGACAAACUGAUACAUCAGCCAGAUAACAUUUUCCUAAAUUUUCUUAGUAUAAUUGGCUUUAUGACAAGUACUGAUUUAAGCUACCACAAACUGAUUCAUUUUAACUUUAUCUUCAUAUGGAUGCUUCAAUUAAUUUUUUUUGAACAGAAAAAUUAGUGAAAAAACCUUGAAUCAAUUUUGAAUGGUUUUCUGAACCAUGAACCAUAAAAUGGAAUAGCCUUGCUCAACCUGCCACCCCUCAAGUGGAAUGGAAUCUCCCAACC